GACGGAUUGUUCACAGUAACUACUAACGUUGCUACCGAGAUCGGCAUUGGGCAGUCUAUAAUUGCAAAUCCCUACGGCACGGUCCGUGACUACAUCAUUGGAUACGCUGGCUGCGAUACUUACCUGGUGUAUCGAUGCUUUGUGUUUGGAGCGGAAGAGCCUGAUUAUAUUGCUGGGUUCUCCCCCAAAUGUCAACCCAUUGGAUUGUCUUGCCUGCGAAAAGUCAAAGAGAUCAUCAGCGAGAGAGGACUACCUGAAGUUGACUACUACAUUCUGCCCAACAAACUACCCAAUAGAUGUGUAACACAACAGCUGUGUAUACAACCACCCAAUCCCUUCUACAAUAACCUACAUAGUGUGGCCAAAUUGUAGAGAUGAACUUGAAACUACUUAGAGUAUGUGUAAAUAAUCAAUAAUCGUUUUAAUAUUUGCUCGAAACAGAUGAUAGUUUUCAUAAGAGCUACAUUGAGCCGGGUUAGUGUCUUUACUGGGUAAAUGAUCCUAUUCAAAUAUCUGUCGUUCGGAUGAAAACAUAUUCUAAUAAAA